GCAGGGACAUCUUACCUUUGUCCUAAUCGUGACUGCUUUGGACCUUGCCCACUGGUUUCCUUAACCUCUGAAAAAAACGUGGCAAAUAAAGCUGCAACUUCCUAAUGUAGGCUCAGGUAAAUCUGUGAUCUGUGGGAAGAGUCCACCGAAACAGAAGCCUCACAAAUUGGUGGCAGAUGGGAAGAGUCAAGAUGUUAAGGACCCAUAUUAAGACCAUUACACACCUAUAAAACAGUCACUACACUCACUCUUUUUCUGAAAACUGUAGUGUUCAAUGUUGGAGAGACUCAGAGACAAAGUGAGCAAACGUUAAUUAGAUUUUAUUGUUGUCUUCAUUUCAAUUGUUUGUAUCUCUGCAAAACCACCAGACAGCACCAAAGUUAUCUUCAAUAAUGUUGGACAGAGUUGGGUUUUUUCAAACUAAUGAUAGUUAUUUUUAAAAGGAUGGGUUUCCCUCUAAAGGGGGAAUUCAGCACCAUGCAUUAGGCGAAUGCCCCUGGCCUUCUGUGGCACAGUGUUACCUGACCCAUUGGGUUUGAUUCACAGCAGUUCUUUCAACAGCUUCUUCCUGAAACAUGAACAUGGACACCAGCUCUUCAUGUAAGGACCCAAACUUUAAAAAUCUGUGUGACCGCAUACGAUUUUUUUUUUUAUUAGAAAGGGAUCCCUCAGGAAUUUUUUUAAGUUCAGAAUGUAUUAGUCUGGAUUCAUCUAGGGUUUAUACCCUCAGUGGCCACAAAGAUCCAAGCUUCUCAGCAAAGAUUGUAUUUGUUGAUGAACUCCAGAAAAUUCUGAGUGAGGUUUGGUCAAACCAUCCCAAGCUGGGGCUUCCCAGGUGGUUCAGUGGUAAAGAAUCCGCCUGCCAGUGCAGGAGACACAGAAGGCAUAGGUUCAGUCCCUGGGUCAGUAAGAUCCCCUGGAGGAAAUGGCAACUUGCUCCAGUACUCUUGCCUGGAAAAUCCCAUGGACAGAGGAGCCUGGUGGGCUACGGUCCAUAGGGUUGUGGAGUUGGACAUGACUGAGCACACACACACACCCAAAGCUGACUCCAUCUUCUUUUGCUUAGGGUUACUGACCCUGCUGGGGGUUGUGGAGCGGGGGCGGGGGCGGGGGAAUGUCUGACAGAUGCAAUGCCUCUCUUCCCAGUCCUUCAUCUGUACAUUACAUUAAAUAUCAUCACCCAGUCCAUCUUCACUACCUGGAAAAAAGCUAUGCUACUAUAAUUUGUACAUGAUACAAUUGUACUCAGCUAUCCACUCUUCCUUUUGAAAACACCUGAAACCA
ensembl:lncRNA